rnacentral:rRNA from 1 species
AUUGAACGCUGGCGGCAUGCUUUACACAUGCAAGUCGAACGGUAACAGGCCGCAAGGUGCUGACGAGUGGCGAACGGGUGAGUAAUGCAUCGGAACGUGCCCAGUCGUGGGGGAUAACGCAGCGAAAGCUGCGCUAAUACCGCAUACGAUCUAUGGAUGAAAGCGGGGGACCGUAAGGCCUCGCGCGAUUUGAGCGGCCGAUGUCAGAUUAGGUAGUUGGUGGGGUAAAGGCUCACCAAGCCAACGAUCUGUAGCUGGUCUGAGAGGACGACCAGCCACACUGGGACUGAGACACGGCCCAGACUCCUACGGGAGGCAGCAGUGGGGAAUUUUGGACAAUGGGCGCAAGCCUGAUCCAACAAUGCCGCGUGCAGGAAGAAGGCCUUCGGGUUGUAAACUGCUUUUGUACGGAACGAAACGGUCCUGGUUAAUACCUGGGGCUAAUGACGGUACCGUAAGAAUAAGCACCGGCUAACUACGUGCCAGCCGCCGCCGUAAGAC